UUACUACUCCCUCCGUUUAGAAUUACUUGUCGUAGAAAUGGAUGUAUCUAGACAUUUUUUAGUUCUAGAUACAUCCAUUUCUGCGACAAGUAAUUCGGGACGGAGGGAGUAGUAG
rnacentral:pre_miRNA from 1 species